rnacentral:lncRNA from 1 species
CCCAUUAACUUUUACUUGUUUUGUAAUUCGAUUUCGUAGAUUUCAAGCUUGUUCACACUUAGGUACUCUAGGAAUCCUUGAGUAUUUUAUUCGGUUUGGUAAGGUAGUUUGGUAACACUGUCGCAGGCGGCUUAAUUUGAAAAUCGGGUAGUGAGAAUCGGGUGUUGGAAACCGAUUAUGAGCGUGGGUAGGUGAUGAGGUUGAUGUUUGUUAUUGGUUGGUGUCAUUUUUGUGCUUACUGGUUGGUGCUCUUACUAAUUCGGGUAUUUGGUUGUGCCCUAGUAUUUGGAUUUGAAGUAAUGACGACUUAAUCUUGGUUGCUCAUGAGAUGGUAACAUACUAAAUUAUCCAACUUAUAUUAAUGUAUCUAACAAUAAACAUAACUUAGUAUCUUGAAGAAAAUUGAGCUUUUAUAUCUUAUUUUUAAACGUUGUCAAAGUUAGGGGUGUUAGUUGUGUUAAGGUGACGGGUUUUGAGUUGUUGGUAAAGGGCAUACCCACUUAUUGAGGAGAGGGGCAACCACUCCCUAUGGGAAAAAAAAAUCAAUGUUUUAGGCAAAAAUCUCGAUUCCCUCCUUCAAAGUUUGAUUAAGUCGCAUGAUCCCCCACCCCCACCUCUAAUGGAAAAAAAAAACUGAGCUCGUCAUUGUUGUCGGUUGAAUGGAUAAACCUGAAUAUAACUCAUAUUUGUUCAACCCUAACUGUACAAAUUAAAAAAAAUAUAUAUAACCACAACACACCCAAGCAAUUCAUUUUCCUAAAUAAGUCAAUUGAGUUGACGGGUUGUAAACAAAUUGGUAGGUUAUAAAUGAAUGUUAUCAAGCUGUAAACAGGUUAGCCUGAUCACGUUGAGGGGUUGUACUAAUGGUUUAAAAGAGUUUGUGGGUUGACGUUAUAAAAAAUAUACUUUUAGUUUUGGACAGAUCAACAUGUUUUACUAAAUGGGCUAAACAAACCAAGUAAAUAUAUAAUAUUUAAAUAUUUAACUAAAAAGAGUUAAAAGGGUUCAAUCUACACAUUAAAUAUUUAUUAAACGGAUUCGAAACAACAAACCUCAACCUAAUUAUUUUUACAUUGUAUAUUUUGAAUCGUAUUAUUAUCCAAUUUCAACACCUACUCGAUAAAAAAGACACUAACUACUUGAGAAAUAUUCAAAGAUUCAUACACGAGAUGAUGAUGAUGAUGAUAAUGCCACAUGUGAUAUGAUGCACAUUUAUUUAAAUUCACGGGUCAACUUCAUCCUGUUGGGUAGCAUGUAAUCCAAAUCUUUCUUUGUAUUUAUCAUAAAAUACAUACGACCGACCAACAACGGAGGCCGGUUCAAAGUCCAAACAUACCUACCACCGAAUACAAAUUGUUUUUCUUUUCGUUACUGAUAUUAUUCAAAUAUUAUUUUGAAGAUGUGACUGAAAGUUAUAUUGAUCAAGAGUAUUAGGCUGGAGGGUAUUUGAAGCCUCGGGCUUUAUUCUGCUACCUUAUCAUCACAUCACGAAUAGGACCUUUCUUUAACAACUAAUUAAUUCGAUUUCGUAGAUUUCAAGCUUGUUCACACUUAGGUACUCUAGGAAUCCUUGAGUAUUUUAUUCGGUUUGGUAAGGUAGUUUGGUAACACUGUCGCAGGCGGCUUAAUUUGAAAAUCGGGUAGUGAGAAUCGGGUGUUGGAAACCGAUUAUGAGCGUGGGUAGGUGAUGAGGUUGAUGUUUGUUAUUGGUUGGUGUCAUUUUUGUGCUUACUGGUUGGUGCUCUUACUAAUUCGGGUAAUUUUCUAUAAAUUUGCUAAAAAAUAAGGUGGUUAUUCUUCAUUAGUUGAUGUUAUUUAGGUAUUUGGUUGUGCCCUAGUAUUUGGAUUUGAAGUAAUGACGACUUAAUCUUGGUUGCUCAUGAGAUGGUAACAUACUAAAUUAUCCAACUUAUAUUAAUGUAUCUAACAAUAAACAUAACUUAGUAUCUUGAAGAAAAUUGAGCUUUUAUAUCUUAUUUUUAAACGUUGUCAAAGUUAGGGGUGUCAGUUGUGUUAAGGUGACGGGUUUUGAGUUGUUGGUAAAGGGCAUACCCACUUAUUGAGGAGAGGGGCAACCACUCCCUAUGGGAAAAAAAAAUCAAUGUUUUAGGCAAAAAUCUCGAUUCCCUCCUUCAAAGUUUGAUUAAGUCGCAUGAUCCCCCACCCCCACCUCUAAUGG